rnacentral:lncRNA from 1 species
UUUGCGAUAAAACACGAUAUUGGAUAUAUCAAACGCGAUGUUAGAUACAUUAUAGGAUUCUGGUUCCUUGUUCAUCUCUAACAAGGUGCCACUUUAUAGAGCGCGAGAAGCCACAGGCACUGAUCAGUGGUAUUUUCUGACGAUCCCCCUCAGGUACUCCCAGCCUCCACUCUGAUACGCGAAGUCCUGCAGCGAUUCAUCCAGGCAUUCUUCCUCGAGUUGAGAGCAACUCUGGCUUGUUAUGUGCCACACCCUGAAAGGAACGUCACGGGUUCUGUCCACUGCCCGGCGCUCCACAAACAGCUGCUGUAGACCAGCGUGGUCUUUCCUGAGCAGCUCAACAAACUUGGUGUUGCCACACACGAAAACAAUCCUGAAGCAGCUAGCGUCUACGUCGAAGUCAGUGGCUGCUUCUGCAAACAGCUGAGCCGACUCCACACAUUCCGCAUCAUCCUGCUGGCCAUGGAGCUUGAGCCAUUCCGGAAUAACCUGCGAGCACAAAGAAGAAGAAUCAAUACUAUCGAUCAAGUAGAAACCUUCUUCAUUGAAAAUCACCUUCUUGCCUCGGGUUGGCAGCAUCGCCUUGAGUCGCCCAAACAAUGUAAUCACCCUCCAGCCCGGUACCUGGUCGUAGUUGUGGUGCACGAACAAGGCACCGAGGCGGAGACGCUUGGCCACCCAGGCGCCCAGCUCCGUUCCUCGGAGGUGAGCAUCGUUGAGCAUCUGGUAGGCAGCCUUGUCGCACACGAAGAUGUCGCUCGUCUUCCCAUCCUCGUCCAGAGGAGGGGCCCUGUUACGAACUGGAAAGAAGCCAUACUUCAUAGCCUCCACCUCGUCAAGUCCGCUGGGGUGGAGCUUGCCUGGAAUGGGAACCCAGCCAGUGGCCUCCUCCUUCUCCUCCGUGCAUGGACGCCUUGGGGAGGCGUCGCCCCUGCUGCUGCGCCUGCGCUUGGGGCUCCUGGAACGCGGCAUCUCGCCCGAGCGUGGCCUGCGGGAGCUAGAGGCAUCCAUUCUAUCGCCGUGCCUGCGCUUGCCCGAGCGUCGCCUGCGCAAGCUAGAGUCAUCCAUUCCAUGGUCGUCCCUGCUGCUAAGCCAGCGCUUUGGGAGCCCAGGUGGCCUGCGAUCCCGAGGCCCGCGCUCUGGCCUGGCAAUUGCGUGAACGUUGCCUUCGCGCCUCGUCGUCCUACCCAUGCCCUAAUCUCCGAGGUUAGGGCUGUUUGAUGAUUAGGAGUUAGAACUUGACGGUGAUUCUGAUGCCUUAAUUUCUACAUCGUUUGGCAGCGAGUGCAUUCUUGGAUUCGCUACUGCACUUUGUUUGAAUUUCACAGCAGCGUUUUCCUUGGAACAAAUGAAAUCAAAGGUUAUCUAGCAGCCUUUUGGAUUGAAGCCUUGUGGAUGCACAAUCCACAAUGCAGUUUCAAGUGGCAACAAACAGCAUCUAAGAACUCGAGAGUUGUGCAUGAGAGUUGUGCAAUCAAGGUGAAGAUUGCCAUCCAAAGAACCCUAAACAGCAGCAAAGUCCCAGUAAUCUUGCAGAAUACCUAGUAUGUCUCCAUAGAAGAAAGGAAAUUGACUGGUAGCUGCUGGACUAGCAAACAAUUUUCAACUUCUCCAUUGGCAGAGGUUUGUUGCAUUAAUAUUUUCUAUCUAGAGACAUCACUGUUUUUGGUUUUGGAUGGUGAAGGUUAUGACAAGGGAAGAAUUAGACAUCUGGAAAAAUACUCCCUAAGUUUCUUGUAAGAGAACUUUACUUCUCUUUUGUUCUACUUCCUGUCUAUAUUCUGAAACGGUUUGACAGGUGCAAAAUGGUUGCUUGUGGCUAUUCACAACAAAAAUAUGGAAAGUAUGAGUGUAUUUUCUCACAUCAGCAGCCACACACACGAGGCAAUUGCUGGUAAAGCUCUUUCCAUUCUUCUAUAAGCGUUUUGUGUUUAGUUUUUUAUUGAAAUAGUGAAGUUAUGAAUUGAAACAAAUAGCAAGAAAGNNNNNNNNNNNNNNNNNNNNNNNNNNNNNNNNNNNNNNNNNNNNNNNNNNNNNNNNNNNNNNNNNNNNNNNNNNNNNNNNNNNNNNNNNNNNNNNNNNNNGAGUGUCUCGUAAGGCUUCUUUCCAAGGUACUUCAUCAAAGCUCCAAGCCCGAUCGACUUGUUUCCUAGAUGAUCAAAGACAUCGAAGUUAAAACGGAAAUCAAAGAAUGUGAAAACUUACCAACAUCCACAAAGACAUCUGCAUUCGGCAAAAAACAAGACACGAGGAAACGUUUAGAGCACAGGAAAAAAACUGUCGAGAAACUGUACAUACCACUGCCUCCGUUAAAAGCACAAAACGGUAGCUUGGACUCCACCAGAUGGACUUGAACAGUCAAAGCCAUCUCCUCCAGAACCUGAUAAAAUAGGAAUGAAUCAGUAACCAACAACACAAACCUUUGGCUACCUCGUAAAUCGUCGAGACUUUGGGGAUGACUCCGACGGCCCUUGGCUUCCGCACAAAAUGAACUGGCAAAUUCAAGCGUGCGGAGGCCGACUGGAGAGCGCCCUGGGCUUCAUCAAGGAGUUCUUCGAUUCCCUCUUCCGACCACUCUAGCAUAUCUUUCGACUUCCACAUGUCGUCUGGGACAAACUCGAGCCGGUACUUGUUGUUCACCCGGAGGAGAUAGUUGCAUUCUCCUCCCAUGACUUGAAAGUACCUGGUGACUCUGGAAGCAAGCUCAAGCUCUUCGAAGGCUGAAAGCAGUCCAGAAAAUCGGUCCUCGAAUUUUGUAGGAUCUCCCGGAUAGCCUGCACGCACAACGUAGUAAAUACAAGUUCUUUUUAUCGAAAGAACUUCACCAUACCAGCUGCUGUGAGAAUCGCAACGUGAAUACCACGUUGCAUUAGCUUGAUAAUGUGCGCGAUCAUCUUGUUAUCGCGCUCGAUGUGGUGACCAUCGGAGUAAAUGGUACCAUCGGCAUCAAAAGUUACCAGUGCCAGUUUUUCAGCAAUAGCAUGAACCUGUGGAAACGAAAGUUUAACGCAGGGAAGAAAGAAGAAAGAGUUUCUUUGCCGACCUGUGCGAUGUUUAUGACAUGACGAAUCUCUGCAAAGUUUGGAGGCACGUAUCUUCUCCUCGAGAGAGACGCAAAUUCAUCGUACUCAUGGAAAGCUCGGACGAGAGGCAAAGGUGUGUAGAACCUCCCGACGGAAGGAAUCAAUCUGCUCAGCGUGCUACGCAUGGGAUCUUCGCUGUGUUCUUUGAUCCAUCUCUCCAUUUUCUCCAUCACCUACACCACGCAAAGAAAAAAAAAAAAACAAUCGAUAAGAGAAAAAUCAAUGGUGUGGUCCAUCGAAAGAAAUAUCUUCUCUUCACUCUUCUCGCCAGAGUACCUGGAUGGGAGAAUGCGUGGAAUGGAGCGAGAUGAUAAACUCGAUGAGCCCAUCUUGCUCCUUCAAUCGACCUUUGCGCCGCAAGACGUGAGCAUCAGUGACGCUGCUAGCUCGCGAGACGUGAGCGUCCUCCAGCACCUCCCUACUGAGCAGCAUGCUCCAUCGCAUCUUGUGCUCGGACGAUCUGACCUCUGGAUCCCCGCCAUCGCCUUGUUCUUGCGAUAUUUCGACCCCAUUCCCUGCUGGCGCCGGCUCCUCCGCCCGGAUUUUCUCCAGCCGCUGAUUCAGAUCCACGCCGCCGGCGCUCUCCACGCCCACGGCAUUUGAGAUCGAGCACACCGAGCAGCGCUGCCGCCGCUUCCUCGCCAAGAAGAUCUGGAAACACUGCGAUUUGAGGCCGAUUUGGGGGAUACAUUUGCCGGUGAAUGCUGUGUGGAGUGUAUCGACGCCGCGCCCGCCGCCGGGAGAGGCCUGGAUCACAGCGAGCGCCAUGACCAGCUGGAGCAAAGGGUUUAGGGUUCUUGGCGGCCAUAUAUCACAAAAUAGAGAAUAUUCUCUUACAGCUAUUGGGAAUCUAAGGAUAAGCACUCCAGCUAGUGGGGAAGAUAGAAUUCACACGUUGUAUCCAUUGGCAUGUGCGAAUGCUUCUUUAGUACACUACAUCUUUUGUAAAGUCUUGCCAGUUCCCAAAGUUCUAUCCACAUCCACCAAAUUUUAAUCGAUGAACACUCUACAUUGAAAAAUUUUCAUACCUUUCUGCGAUUUCCUCGUGUUGCUGGAAUGUUGCUAUUUUUUCUUGCGCGUUUUGACCUUACCACCCAUUUUCACCUCCAAACCUUGGCAGCAUCUCGCUGAUGAUUUAAAGAUUAUCAAAGUGAAGGUACUUGAUAAGGAAGAAUAAAUCCAGCUAAUCCACAGCAAGAUACCUUAGAAGAGUCACCUGAAAAGAAAUGUCAAUCCAUGUCCAUGUCUAUGUUGCUUAAUAUUCAUCUCUUUUUGGCGUCGCAAUAUGAUAAUCAGCAUCUGAAAUUCGAUGCCAAGUAAAAACUACGGAUUUUGCGAUAAAACACGAUAUUGGAUAUAUCAAACGCGAUGUUAGAUACAUUAUAGGAUUCUGGUUCCUUGUUCAUCUCUAACAAGGUGCCACUUUAUAGAGCGCGAGAAGCCACAGGCACUGAUCAGUGGUAUUUUCUGACGAUCCCCCUCAGGUACUCCCAGCCUCCACUCUGAUACGCGAAGUCCUGCAGCGAUUCAUCCAGGCAUUCUUCCUCGAGUUGAGAGCAACUCUGGCUUGUUA